ensembl:lncRNA
GAGAAAUGGAGAGGCUGCGGGAGAAGUGGUGUGAAGAGAGAUAGGAGAAAUUACAGCAGAGAAAGGGAACAUUUGAUGAUAAGGAAAAGGACAAAGCGAUGCUGAAGUGGCAUCCAGCGUCAGGCUCCAGAGGAGUUAAGGGGCUCUCCGACCAGGAGAAGGGGCUGGUCUCAGAGAGGGUGAGAAGAAUACAGCCAUGGUAACAGCAGAACACAGAAGCGCUGGCAGAGGCAAGUAAGAGGCUGAAUGUGGAAAGUCAACCUCCAAUGUGUUAGACCAGUUAAUGUUACUGGUCACUUUGAGAGACCACAGAAAGGACUUAGCAUCACAAGUCUUUGUGGUAGCUGAGGAGUGCCCCCUACAGUCUGAUAUGCACAGUGCAAGCAGAUGAAGAGGAAAGACGUGAGCUGCAGUAUUUCAGGAUUCUCAAUAAGGCAUCAAUGAAAGAAAGUUACAACAUCACAGAUCUUUCAAUGAUGUGCACAAAAAAAAGUGAACCAGGUGGAUUUCAGAGCUGCAUGAGUAGAAGUAGCAAACAGGCCUGGAGAAUGAGCCCACAUGUCCCUAGCAACAGGUCAGCACCUCCUAUUUUCCUGUUUAAAUUAUAUCAGGACAGGGCCUCAGUGAAAGUUUGAUGUUCUGUGGGCAAUGGAAGAAGGGAAGAGUUUAAACUACAUGCCAAGUAUGCUUCCAGGUGAAAUUGGGCCGUACUGAGGCACGAAAAUAGAGUUGCUUUCAAACAUCAAUAAGGUCCAUUCUUUGGAUUUGAAUAAGAACAAAUUUUGUUUCUCUUAUUUCUGGAAAGUAAAGUGAGGACAGAUAGAUUUUUGAAACAGGUUGUAAGCAAUGGAUCCAUUUUCAUUAUUUCAAAACUUUGCUUUAUUGGAUUCAUACUAGCUUAAAAAUUCAGGUUAUUAAUGCAAAUGUUUAAAAUAGUGUGGUGAUGAGAAUCAAUGUGUAUAUGUUAAAUAAUUGUGCCCUUUUUUAUAUUGGGCAUGAAUAUUACUAAUGGUUCAAUCCUAAGCUGGCUUUUCUUUGCAAAAUGACUAAAUCAUUCUCACAUUCUCAGUACUAAUGAUAUUACUCAGAAUAAUCUCUUAAAAAAAUACUUGUGACUUUUUAAAAGGCCUUUGCCACACAAUAUCUAGUUGCUACUAAUAUGAAUUCAGGAAGCAUGGAGUUAAAGAAGUUGGCUUUUUUUUUCUUAAAUCUGAACAUUGGAAUCAGCAGUUUGCAUUAUUUUAAAAAUGAAUGCUUAGGAUCAGCAAUUUUCUUGUUUUUUUUUUAAAGAUCUUGAGGGUUUUUUUUAUUUAAAGUGGAAAACUACAUUAAGUGCAAGGCAGUCAACAAAGAAGCAGCCAUAAAGCCUAAGUAUUCCUAGAGUUAUAAAAUAUGUCCAUUGUGCCAAUUCCACUGCCAACAAUGAAGUUUUAAGCAUUAAUAUGCCUUCAUUGCAGUUUUAAUGCCUUAAUAUUGACUCUAUAGCUCUUUUGGGUAAUUUUGCUUUCUCUGGUACUUGAAAGGUGAUGAUGUCAGCGUUCUUCGCACUGAUUCAUAUGCAGGUUGAUGAAGCUGAGUUAUUUAUUGAGUUCCAUUAUAUUUUCUAUAAACAUUAGUUCUCAAUAAACAGAGACAUUUAGCCGAGGGUUUAUUUAUUAAAUAGGUACUGUACAGAUGGUUUUGCCACACAUGAUGUGCUGCAGAGGAUAUUACUCAGGAAUAAUCAGCUGUGUUAUAGCUUGGCUAAAUUAAUAAGAUGAUAAUGAUGAAAUUGAUGCUUUUGAGCUAGGCUUGGUAAAUGGUUUUUGCAUAAACAAACUGAUAAAUUUGAGAAGCAAUUACUUGCUUGUCAAAGAUAAAAACACAACAGGGCCCAUUUAUAGUUAGGUCCUAUUUAUUUUUAAAGAUUGUACCAGAUUUUAUGUUUAAUAUGCUGCAAUUAAAAAAUAAUACUUAAAUGAAGGAGAAUAAAAAAACCAACUUUCUGAGUUCUUCCAAUCUGAAGAAACCCCAUUGCUUGAUUAGACAUCAAGAAAACUUUUUUGCUGCAUGUGGAGGGAAUAUAUAUAUAUAUAUCUGAAAAA